CAGGUCACUCCUACGGGAGGCAGCAGUGGGGAAUUUUGGGCAAUGGGCGAAAGCCUGACCCAGCAACGCCGCGUGAGGGAGGAAAUCCUUCGGGAUGUAAACCUCACAAGCAAGGGAAGAGCGCGUAGAGGUGAAUACCCUCUGCGUCCGACGGUACCUUGCGUAAGCCACGGCUAACUACGUGCCAGCAGCCGCGGUAAUACGUAGGUGGCAAGCGUUGUUCGGAAUUACUGGGCGUAAAGGGCUCGUAGGCGGCCAACUAAGUCAGACGUGAAAUCCCUCAGCUUAACUGGGGAACUGCGUCUGGGACGGGGUGGCUGGAGUGUGGCAGAGGAAGGUGGAAUUCCAGGUGUAGCGGUGAAAUGCGUAGAGAUCUGGAGGAACACCGAUGGCGAAGGCAGCCUUCUGGGCCAACACUGACGCUCAUGCACGAAAGCGUGGGGAGCAAACAGGAUUAGAUACCCUGGUAGUCCACGCCGUAAACGAUGGAAGCCAGCCGUUGGCCAGCAUGCUGGUCGGUGGCGCAGCUAACGCAUUAAGCUUCCCGCCUGGGGAGUACGGUCGCAAGAUUAAAACUUAAAGGAAUUGACG
rnacentral:rRNA from 1 species